CAUUCUCAUUCACUCACUCUCAUUCACUCAUUCUCACGAUUGCGGGAGAGCGUGUGAGCACGCAUCAGCAAUCCCGCGAUGGACCAGCGGCGGCCGCUCGCCAAGUGACGACGAACACGACGAGGACGAUACGACGAGGAGAAGAGCCUGCGAAACUUCCAGCCGAGCGAUCUAGCGAUCGAAGUAGAAGUGGUCGACUCGAGCCGACGGAUAGCCCGAGCAUUUGCGCGCGACCGUCGGCAGCCGCUCCCCGAUGGAUUCUAUUUUAUUAGUUUCAGAUUUAAAACCGAUAGAUUUUGAUAAACCUAUUUAACGACCAUGAUAAUAAAAAAGACGUCUGGUUCGCAUACCAAGCAGGAGAGCAGUGUGAGCACAGUGGCUGGUCAGCUGAGCCAGAGUCCUCAGCACCAGCAUCACCAUCACCAACAACAGCAACAGCAACAGCAGCAACAACAGCAGCAACAGCAACA